rnacentral:RNase_P_RNA from 1 species
GAAGCAAGCCAGACCGCCGCUGGGGCAAGCGUGGAAACACGGCCCUGGAGGAAGGUCCGGACUGCAUAGAGCGGCGUAGCAGCUAACGGCUGCCCGGCGAAAGCCGAGGAUCAGAGCAACAGAGACGAGUUCUGUCAGACAACCCGAUGGGUGGUCUAUGAGGCGCCAGCGCAAGCUGGCGUGGGGUGGGGCGAAAGCCUCGCACCAUCGGGCGCAAGCCCGAACCGAAUAGCACCUCUGUCGGGCUCUGCCCGACAGAGGUGAAACGGGCAAUCUCUACGCGCAGCAACACCAAGUAGGCCAGCGUUGAUGCGGCUCGCAGAGCUGGCGGGUAGGUGGCACCGAGCCGGGCAGCGAUGCCCGGCCCAGAGGAAUGGCGGUCACGGGAUCGGCUUCGCAAGAGGCCGGUCCCGCACAGAAUCCGGCCUAUCGGCUUGCUUCACUC